GGACUACCCGGGUAUCUAAUCCUGUUUGCUCCCCUAGCUUUCGUGCCUCAGUGUCAGGAGUCGUCCAGAGACUCGCCUUCGCCACUGGUGUUCCUCUCGAUAUCUACGCAUUUCACUGCUACACCGAGAAUUCCAGUCUCCCCUCCGACCCUCCAGCCGGAUAGUAUUCGAUGACUUUUCGGAGUUGAGCUCCGAGAUUUCACACCGAACUUACCCGGCCACCUACGCACCCUUUACGCCCAGUGAAUCCGAACAACGCUUGGGACCUCUGUAUUACCGCGGCGGCUGGCAC
rnacentral:rRNA from 2 species